rnacentral:rRNA from 1 species
UACGGGGGGGGCAAGCGUUGUUCGGAAUUACUGGGCGUAAAGGGCUCGUAGGCGGCCAGCUAAGUCCGACGGGAAAUCCCCAGGCUCAACCUGGGAACUGCCUCGGAUACUGGAUGGCUUGAAUUCGGGAGAGGGAUGCAGAAUUCCAGGUGUAGCGGUGAAAUGCGUAGAUAUCUGGAGGAAUACCGGUGGCGAAGGCGGCAUCCUGGACCGACAUUGACGCUGAGGAGCGAAAGCUAGGGGAGCAAACGGG